GAUCAUGGCUCAGGAUGAACGCUAGCUACAGGCUUAACACAUGCAAGUCGAGGGGCAGCAUGAUCGAAGCUUGCUUUGAUUGAUGGCGACCGGCGCACGGGUGAGUAACGCGUAUCCAACCUUCCCUAUAGUAGAGGAUAGCCCGGCGAAAGUCGGAUUAAUACUCUAUGUUUUCCAAUGCAGACAUCUAAAAUGGAACAAAGGUUUACCGCUAUAGGAUGGGGAUGCGUCUGAUUAGAUAGUAGGCGGGGUAACGGCCCACCUAGUCGACGAUCAGUAGGGGUUCUGAGAGGAAGGUCCCCCACAUUGGAACUGAGACACGGUCCAAACUCCUACGGGAGGCAGCAGUGAGGAAUAUUGGUCAAUGGGCGAGAGCCUGAACCAGCCAAGUAGCGUGCCAGGAUGACGGCCCUAUGGGUUGUAAACUGCUUUUAUACAGGGAUAAAGUGCGCCACGUGUGGCGUUUUGUAGGUACUGUAUGAAUAAGGACCGGCUAAUUCCGUGCCAGCCGCCGC
rnacentral:rRNA from 1 species